AUGAAUCAGGCUGGGACGAACUCAGAAAAAGAGGCUCUGACGACAGGAAGUGGAGAGUAACACAAGACGAUAUUAUCUACAAAACAAAACUGCAAAUAACUAAACCAAAAACAAGGCACUGAUAAAUAGAGCCAUGAUACACAGAUGAAGCAGCUAAUGUCACAGUUCAUUUAUUUGUCAUCGACAAUGAAUGUAAAGCUGGUGGGUCCGCUUGGCUAACGAGCCGGGCUUUGAGAUCACUGAUUGGGACGUGGCCAACAACAUGCCUACAGAGAGCAGUGAAACAAAGAGUCUGUGCGCUGUGAUUCAUUGUUCCACUGAGGAACAUGAAGUCCAGAUGAAGAAUGACAGAAAGAUAGAAAACAUCUUCCUCCUAACCUGAUGAAAAUAAAUCUACUGGACACCAAUGUAAGAGCGAGAAAUCCUUUCACAACGCUGGAUUUCAUAAGAAUAAACUCUACAGGCGCCAGAGGUCACGUCGACCUGGGACCUGCACUGAGCAUCAAGUCAGAUACAUGUCUUCAUCACACUCGGCCUCGAUGAUGUUCCUCUUACGUAACUCCUGGAGGUGUGGGACGUUACGGGGCUGUGGGACCGACGCGCCGCAGCUGUGGUCCAGAAAUCAUGACCUAAUGACCACCAACCGCCUCAGAAGAGUUUAUUUGGAGAGCCUCCACCCGAUGAGGAACAGCGUGAGGAAUGGAGGCUUCCUCCAACCAUUUAUCAGAAUAAACCAGCCUGAUGUGAGGAAAUAUGUGAGAAGAUUUACAGGAUUUGGACACAGUGACACCUAGUGCACUGACACAGAUCUGCUCCUCUUUUAAACCCACAAGAUGGCAGCAGAGUUUCACUUCCGGCCCACUGGUGUUAAACCAGCAACCUACAGACACUCAGAGAGGAAGAGUUUCCCUGUGGUACUGGUUUAAUCACCAUGUCGUUCCAUUUCCCGAAGAAAACACCUGAAUCCAGUUUAAGUUAUGUUCAAAUUUAUUUUAAUAAACAGAGCACAUGGUCUUAGAAUCAAGUACACACUAAAAAGGGUCAAAACAUCUUCUCAACAACUCUUUAGAAAGAACAACGCAGGCACUUUACCAGCUUAUGUCAUACAGGAACAACAGUGGAGGAGGAGGGGUGUGUGUGUGUGUGUGUGUGUGUGUGUGUGUGUGUGUGUGUGUGUGCAUGCAUUCAUGCGCACGUGUUUAUAAAAGUCAGUAAACAACAUAUAUGUAUUUAUUUUUCCUCAAAAGCAUCUCAUCACUGUGAACAGUAAGGUCAUCAAAAGUAAAAACACAUCAGAACAAAGAAAAAACACCCGCGGCCCGUCUCCCACGGCAACCUGAGAGCCGACAGGAACCGAACCAGGACCGCGGCCGUCUGCAGCUCCCGAGUCCAAAAACAACAUUUACAGGUCAACAAAUCAACAAUAUGAGUUUGGUUUCAUGUCUCCCAAUAUCUUUUCACUAAAAACAUUAAAACAAAUACAUCGACGUGUGAUGGAGUCACAAAGGAGCGGUCACAUGAGAGCACAGUGCAGCAGGUGAGGUGAGUUAAGCUGGUGAGCAGAAUGAGAAUCAGUCCCUCGACACUUCAGUCCACAGCAGCGUCCUUGAAUCUCUGCUGCUGUGUGCAGUCGUCUUUAUCUUAAGAAACACGCAGAAACCUUUAAAUGUUUCUCUGUCAGCGCUCAGCUCAGGUUCUCUGGGGGUCGAGUCAUUUAUCAAACUCAAAUGUUCCACUGCUUUGGUAAACUUCAUGUUUUUGCUUCAGCUGAAAGAUUUACAAUCUUCUCUGGAUUCAGUUUUGAGUUUGUGUUGAUUUUUAUCAGAAAUGUCAACGUUUUAUAACUAUGUUUUACCUCGCAUCGAAAAAAAUCCACAUACUGUCUCCGUAGAUGAGGAGAUGUCUGUCUGUCUUUUAUUUUUAUGAAUGAUACAUUUUCAAAAAUAAUAAAUGGCUCAGGAUUACUGCUGGAAAUAUGUUGAUGGUUUAUGUUUUGCUUAAAUGCAUCAAUCUUAAUGCACAGCUUCUAGCUCGCCAAACAGGCGCUGCUGGAAGUGUGUUGACGCGUUAAGCACUCAUGGGGCUAACAUGGCAGCCAACCAGGAAGCUAACGACCACUGAGCAAGCUAGUUAGCUCGCUAACUACACAAUACAACAUACGUUUGUACCGUCCACUCGAAACCUGAUGCUUCAGUUUGGUGGAGCGUUUAUACUCCUGCAGAGUUUAAAUGUAUAAAAAGACGAGCAGAGAACGGCACCGAGCGCUUUCAUCAAUUCUGAGUUUGAUUUACCAGCUAGCUCCGCUGGUAGCACUCUGAUUGGUUGAAGUCAGUGUGUGAUAGACGAUCACCUGAAAAUCAUGUUUUUGAAAGUGCCAGAAGGUUCCGUGUCAAAUAUCUGGCCCGUCAGGUUAGAUUUACUUCACCCCCAAAAGUGAAUCCACAGAUUAAACUGUUAUUAACCUGUCUUGGUAUUUAAUUUAACUAUUAUAAAUGCUUGUGUGUGUAAGCCCUAACAUUUAGAAAAUGCUCUGACCUUCUGUCAUAUGGAUCAUUUUUCAAAAUAAAUUCAAGAGCAUAAUUCAUUGAACGUCCCUUAAAAAAGCAUUUUUAAGUGAGUCUGGAUUUAAAACAUCUUUGACAGGAUGAACUCUUCAACUGGAGAUGAGAGAAAGAAGAAGGUAAAAAGCUCUCCAGUGUUAAAAUAUUCAGUGGGAUUGUCUUCGAAAAUAAACCGAGACGCUGGAUUAGUCAGUCUCUCAGCGUCACAGACGACUGACACAGUUUUUUCAUGCCGCUGCUGUUGAAAAACCAAACGACUGCAAACUUUGGUUCAUCCGUUUCUUACGAGCCGGGUUUAGUGAUUCUUGUGCUACUGAAACACGUUAAAACUUCACUGUACAAUUAAAGAUUUGUUUUUUUUCUUUACACGGUUUCUGUU